CCCUGGUAGCUCAGAUGGUAAAGAAUCUGCCUGCAAUUUAGGAGACCCAGGUUUGACUCCUGGACCAGGAA
rnacentral:tRNA from 1 species